UCGGCUUAGAGUUUGAUCCUGGCUCAGGACGAACGCUGGCGGCAUGCCUAAUACAUGCAAGUCGAACGAAUUGGUGCUUGCAUCAUUGAGUGGCGAACUGGUGAGUAACACGUGGGAAACCUGCCCAGAAGUGGGGGAUAACACCUGGAAACAGAUGCUAAUACCGCAUAACAACUUACCGCAUGGUCGAGUUUGAAAGAUGUUCGUAUCACUUUUGGAUGGUCCCGCGGCGUAUUAGCUAGAUGGUGAGGUAACGGCUCACCAUGGCAAUGAUACGUAGCCGACCUGAGAGGGUAAUCGGCCACAUUGGGACUGAGACACGGCCCAAACUCCUACGGGAGGCAGCAGUAGGGAAUCUUCCACAAUGGACGAAAGUCUGAUGGAGCAACGCCGCGUGAGUGAAGAAGGGUUUCGGCUCGUAAAACUCUGUUGUUAAAGAAGAACAUAUCUGAG
rnacentral:rRNA from 1 species